rnacentral:rRNA from 1 species
GAAUGCCUACGGGACGCAGCAGUGGGGAAUAUUGGGCAAUGGGCGCAAGCCUGACCCAGCAACGCCGCGUGAAGGAAGAAGGCUUUCGGGUUGUAAACUUCUUUUAAGAGGGAAGAGCAGAAGACGGUACCUCUUGAAUAAGCCACGGCUAACUACGUGCCAGCAGCCGCGGUAAUACGUAGGUGGCAUGCGUUGUCCGGAUUUACUGGGUGUAAAGGGCGUGUAGCCGGGCUGACAAGUCAGAUGUGAGAUCCGGGGGCUCAACCCCUGAACUGAUUUUGAAAC